AGCCGGAAUCGCUAGUAAUCGCGGAUCAGAACGCCGCGGUGAAUACGUUCCCGGGUCUUGUACACACCGCCCGUCACACCACGGGAGCCUGGAAUGCCCGAAGCCGGUGGCCGAACCGAGAGGGCGGAGCCGCCUAAGGCAGGCCCGGUGACUGGGGUGAAGUCGUAACAAGGUAAC
rnacentral:rRNA from 1 species